rnacentral:rRNA from 1 species
GAUGAACGCUGGCGGCGUGCUUAACACAUGCAAGUCGAACGGGAUCCAUCAAGCUUGCUUGGUGGUGAGAGUGGCGAACGGGUGAGUAAUGCGUGACCGACCUGCCCCAUACACCGGAAUAGCUCCUGGAAACGGGUGGUAAUGCCGGAUGUUCCAGUUGAUCGCAUGGUCUUCUGGGAAAGCUUUCGCGGUAUGGGAUGGGGUCGCGUCCUAUCAGCUUGACGGCGGGGUAACGGCCCACCGUGGCUUCGACGGGUAGCCGGCCUGAGAGGGCGAACGGCCACAUUGGGACUGAGAUACGGCCCAGACUGCUACGGGAGGCAGCAGUGGGGAAUAUUGCACAAUGGGCGCAAGCCUGAUGCAGCGACGCCGCGUGAGGGAUGGAGGCCUUCGGGUUGUAAACCUCUUUUAUCGGGGAGCAAGCGUGAGUGAGUUUACCCGUUGAAUAAGCACCGGCUAACUACGUGCCAGCCGCCGCGGUAA